UACGAACCGAGCGAACGUUGUUCGGAAUCACUGGGCUUAAAGGGCGCGUAGGCGGGUGCUCAAGUCUGUGGUGAAAUCCUCCGGCUCAACCGGAGAACUGCCAUGGAUACUGGGUGUCUCGAGGGUGGUAGGGGUAUGCGGAACUAUCGGUGGAGCGGUGAAAUGCGUUGAUAUCGAUAGGAACUCCGGUGGCGAAGGCGGCAUACUGGACCACUUCCGACGCUGAGGCGCGAAAGCCAGGGGAGCAAACGGG
rnacentral:rRNA from 1 species